GCGAGUGAGAGGCUGGUCGCUGUGGCAUCUUCACCGGGGAUGGGGCAGCACACGUGGUCCUCUCUCCAUUGCCAUGCUCGGCUGGCCCCAUGCAGACGCAGGAGAGCUGGGAGGAGAGGCACAGGCUUGGCCAGGUCUUUCCCAAGAGGGAAAGAGGGAUGGGCUCUCCAGGUUCGAGGAACCGUUCUAUUACUGUUCAUCUUUGCAGGAAGAGGAGGAGGGGGAGGAGACUAGCAAAGGGGGGAGAAGAGGAGGAGGAGGAAGAAUUGGAAGCAGGGAAAGGUUGCCUGGAUAACUCGGCUCCUCCUCUCCUUCCUCCCUCCAGAGAGAGAGGAAGACUGGAUCCUGUUCCCAGCUCAGCCGUGAAUGACUGUGCACCCUUCAGUCGGUCAUGUGUUCUCUCUGUACCUGCUUUCUCACCUAAAAUUAAUACAGUGAUUGUAAUGAUGGUAAUAAUUGAAUUCAUUUUAAGGUGCAUAGUUUUACACUUAACAAAUAGCAUUUCUAACAUCUGGCAUGAGUUUUACAAUUGAUGUGUGUCUUUCUUUUAUGCUUCCUCAUGCAGCCUCUUGCCCUGGAACAAAUCAACAGUGCAUCUCAGAAGCAACAGGGUCUUAGAAUUAAGAGGCUAUGGUGUCUGUGAGGUACCAAACAAGAUGGUACCUGAGUGCUUUCACAUGAGCUGUUUUAUUUAUUACAAACUACAGCCCUAGGCGAGGGUAGGUGCCAUUACUCUCCCAUUUAACAGAUGUGGGAACUGAGGCUCAGAGAAAAAGUAGCUUGCAGGCAAGGUCAUGCCUGUUUAAGCAGCCGAACUAGUGCUCGACCACUGAUGAGUCUGAUGCCAGAACCUGCAAGUCUUUCCCAGGGGUGUCUGCUAACAUCGCUUUCCUUCUGGCCGCUCAGGGAUGUGAGAACUUGCUCCUGAAGAGAGCCUCACGUUUUUAGAGGAAAAAUGUUAAUGGUGGUCUUAAUGGCUCACACGCCCCUGCCAAGCACCAAAAGUUCUUGACCAUGAGCUUGAAAGGGUGAUAGCAUGCCUGCGAGACCCUCACAGGUUGCGCUUUCUGUAGAAACAGUGUUUUCUGAGCCUGAAGCAUUUUAGAAAAUAACAUGGGAUUCAUCCCAGAGCCUGGCAGAGGGUCUGGAAAUCCUGAGUCCUGUUUUCCAGUUGGAUUAAACUGAGGUCAGACUUUCUGCCCCAAAGCCUGAAGUGAGUCAUGCAGGCUGGGAGCAGCCCUUGGCAGUCUGACCCCCUCCCAGGCUCUGGGCAGUGAGGGGCCUUGCCCACCCAUCUGUGUGCCCAGUGUCAGGGUGGGUAGUAUUUGCUGGGCUUUGGGGGUCUCUGGGGAAUGGAGAAGAUAAACAGGGGGCUGCCUGGCAGCCUGGAGCAGGGCUUUUGGGCAGAGUCCAGAAAUUAUCUUGCUAACAGUGACAGUCUGAGUCUGUGGGAAGUGGGGUCCUGAAUAAUUGAUUGCUGCUAACUGAAUUGUGAAAACCAUUUUCAGAGAUUCCAAUCAACAGGCUGAUGAGGGGGUAGACAGGAUGAGGGCUUCCUCGUCCCUUGAGCCCAGGGGACCUUCUGAGGCUCCCCCUUGUCUCCCCAGUGAGCUUGGCCAUGGGCCCUGGACUUGGAGGUGGUUCUGGUUGCCCUGUGCCGUCUGCGGGGACCAGCUUCAGGUCAGGAGGAGGGGUGGCCUUGGUUCUGCUGGGUGGGCCCUUCUCUCUCCCCCGAGGGUGGGCUGGGCCUCCGCCCUGAGGGGGGCCCCAGGUUGUCUCAAAUGCAGAGCGGCUCCCCACAUCCACAGACGGGGGACACUGCAAUGCGGGCCCCAGGAUGCUUUGGGGCUCGUUCAGCCCGCUUUGUUGGUAGAAGAGAAGCAUCGCCUCAUUGUCAGAAGCUGAGGGCCUGGGCUCAGAUCCUGGAGCCACCCCUCACUAUUGGUCUGAGUUCGGACCAGUCACAUUACUGUUCUGUGCCUCAGUGUUCCACCUGUAAAAUGGGGCUGAUGGGGCUCCCUACUUUAAAAGAUUGUUGUGACAGUUAAGUUGGUAUUUAAACACAAAGACAGAUAAAUACAAGUGCACGUAAAGUAACGCUGCAGUGGUUACGUCAUGUGGUCCUCUUAAGAGCCCGUGAGGAAGGCAGGGCGAGAAAGGACGGGCAGAGGAGGUGACACGGGGGGCAGCGGAGGCAGAAGAGGCCCCGUGUGAAAGCCGCACCGCUGGUUUAAGGAGGGCAGACAGCCUCUGGGUUUGUCGGAAGCGAGGUUGAGAAUAACUGACUGCUGCUAACUGAGUUGUGAAGAUUCCAGUCUGAGUUCAAAACCGAGUGCCACCAAGGACCAGCUGUGAAACCCUGCUCGGUGUUGCUGGGCCCUUUAGAACCUCACUGGAUCACGUGCAAAAUGGGGUGAUAAUAUCACCUCCCCUGUGGGGUGAGGGCUUCCCUGGUAGCUCAGCUGGUGAAGAAUCCACCUGCAAUGCAGGANNNNNNNNNNNNNNNNNNNNNNNNNNNNNNNNNNNNNNNNNNNNNNNNNNNNNNNNNNNNNNNNNNNNNNNNNNNNNNNNNNNNNNNNNNNNNNNNNNNGGAAUACGUCUGCAAUGCAGGAGACCCUGGUUGAUUUCUGGCCUGAGAAGAUCUGCUGGAGAAGGGAUAGGCUACCCACUCCAAUAAUCGUGGGGUUCCCUUGUGGCUCAGCUGGUAAAGAAACCAUGUACAAUGAGGGAGACCUAGGUUCCAUCUCUGGAUUGAGAAUAGCCCCUGGGGAAGGGAAAGGUUACCCACUUCAGUAUUCUUGCCUGGAUAAUUCCAUGGAUAAAGGAGCCUGGCAGGCUACAGUCCAAGGGGUGUAGUCCAUAUACAUAGUCCAUAUAUAGUCCAUAUAUAGUCCAUAUAUAUAGUCCAUGGGGUCACAAAGAGUCAGAUAUGACUGAAUGACUUUCACUUUCACUUUUCACAUACAAUUAACAAAUCUGUCUUCUUUAUGGAAGGGGGUUGGCUUGAUUGUUCUAUUUGCAGGUAAAAAUUUGUCUUAAACUCAGAAAUCCAACAUUUAAUUACUUAAAUUGGAAGUUUCCCCUGGUGGCUGAGAUGGUAAAGAAUCUGCCUGCAAUGCAGGAGACCAGGGUUCAAUUCCUG
rnacentral:lncRNA from 1 species